rnacentral:rRNA from 1 species
CACCGGCGGCUCGAGUGGUGGCCACUUUUAUUGGGUCUAAAGCGUACGUAGCCGGCUUGGCAAGUCCCCUGGGAAAUCUGGCGGCUUAACCGUCAGGCGUCCAGAGGAUACUGCCAGGCUUGGGACCGGGAGAGGUGAGAGGUACCUCAGGGGUAGGGGUGAAAUCUUGUGAUCCCUGAGGGACCACCAGUGGCGAAGGCGUCUCACUAGAACGGGUCCGACGGUCAGGGACGAAAGCUGGGGGCACGAACCGG